CGGAGAUAGCUGGUUCUCCCCGAAAUAGCUUUAGGGCUAGCCUCAAGGUGAGAGAUACGGAGGUAGAGCACUGAAUGUCCUAGGGGGUAUUGCACCUACCGAAGACUAUUAAACUCCGAAUGCCGUCAUCUUAUACUUGGGAGUCAGACUGUGGGUGAUAAGAUUCAUAGUCGAAAGGGCAACAGCCCAGAUCGUCAGCUAAGGUCCCUAAAUG
rnacentral:rRNA from 1 species